rnacentral:lncRNA from 1 species
AUACACUUAACAAUGCUUAAUACUUUGAUAAACAGUCAAAAUUAUUUAUGUUAUAUAUAAAAGGGUGAGAUUCAAGAAAAUAAGUAUAUGUGAUUAAUAAAUACAUACCACAAACAUAUUCAUAAUAAAAUAAAGAAGAUAUGCAAAUGAAAAUUACAGUCCUCUCCUCUGAAAAUGGUCAUGUGUUGCUGCUGGUACUCAUAACUAUCUUCUUCCACCUCCCAUUCCGUAUUCCCUUCAAUUCACCAAGUAGUUCAGCUGCCUGUGGCAUUUCUCCUGCUGUGGUGAUGCCAACCUUCAUUCCUGAAGGGUCCUGGCCACUCUUAGUCCUGCCUGGGUUAGGAUGAUGUAGUUUCCCAUGGACAUUAAUCACAGGGGAUGUAACACUAAGAGGCACCCUAAGGGACUCCUAUAUUCCAGACAUUCCCUUCCUUCCCUCCAUGGGGAGCAGCUGUCCCAUGUCCCCCUGGCUGCCAGGAUCCAUCACUCAGGCCCACCAGCUAACUCCACUCUUGGGCUCUUGACUUAAAGCAAGAAGAGCCCAACAUGGCCAGUGACAGUUGACCUUUCCAAUUCAGUGAACUCAUUGUUGUCUCUUGAUGGAAGCAUUUCUUCUGUGAAACUAAGAUCUCUAGGCCAGCAGGACAUAAGGUCUUGGGACAGGAAGCACACAGUGGGUCACUGGGGGCCAUAGUGAGAGUUGCCACUCCCAUUCCCAUUUCUUGAUUCCUGGACAAAUGAAUCCCGGCUGUUGGGAAAACAGUGCCACCUGUCAGACACUAGUUCAGAGCACGUGCAGCCUCCUGAGGGACCUUGACCCAGCUGCAAGGUGUCUCCUUGUAGUUGCCACUGUCAUGAAGUCUUCAAAAGGCCACAGCACCCCUCAUCAAGCCAGGUACCUCAGGAGGAGGGAGAAGAUGGUAGGAGCAGAGAUUCCGGAGUUCAGACUGUGGUCACACUUCUUCUUUGGCUGUGAAGGAAUUUCUGGGGCAGAAGCAGAGCUCUGUGGACACCAUGACAAGGCAUUUGUCAGAUGAAGCCCAAGCUCUCUAGGACCUUUAGGCUACAGAUCUGGAAGCCCCUCUGACAUCAUCUCAGUCUUUCUCUUCUCUUUUACACACACACACACACACAC